rnacentral:rRNA from 1 species
GACGAACGCUGGCGGCGUGCUUAACACAUGCAAGUCGAACGAGAAGAGAUGAGAAGCUUGCUUCUUAUUGAUUCGAGUGGCAAACGGGUGAGUAACGCGUAAGCAACCUGCCCUUCAGAUGGGGACAACAGCUGGAAACGGCUGCUAAUACCGAAUACGUCUUUUGUCGCAUGGCAGAGGGGAAGAAAGGGAGGCUCUUCGGAGCUUUCGCUGAAGGAGGGGCUUGCGUCUGAUUAGCUAGUUGGAGGGUAACGGCCACCAAGGCGACGAUCAGUAGCCGGUCUGAGAGGAUGAACGGCCACAUUGGGACUGAGACACGGCCCAGACUCCUACGGAGGCAGCAGUGGGGAAUAUUGGGCAAUGGGGGGAACCCUGGAUGCAGCGACGCCGCGUGGAGG